GUGAAUCAUCAAAUCUUUGAACGCAAAUUGCACUCUCUUCGGAGAGUAUGCCUGUUUGAGGGUCAGCCUAAAAAAAUCGACAUAGUCGCUGUUUCGCGGUGACAUUAGUCGGAAAUUGGGUCAUCUUAAACCUUUGGGUUUUACGCGGCUUAAAAUUUUCUUUACGAUUCCACGAACGUUUCUAAGAUACACUACUUAUAUGUUUAAGGUAUAGAUCUUUAUUAAAAGUGGCCGUU
rnacentral:misc_RNA from 1 species